rnacentral:rRNA from 1 species
UAGGGAAUAUUGGGCAAUGGACGGAAGUCUGACCCAGCCAUUCCGCGUGCAGGAAGAAGGCGCUCAGCGUUGUAAACUGCUUUUAUCGGGGAAGAACGGCAGUCCUGCGGGAUUGUGUGACGGUACUCGAGGAAUAAGCACCGGCUAACUCCGUGCCAGCAGCCGCGGUAAUACGGAGGGUGCGAGCGUUGUCCGGAUGUAUUGGGUUUAAAGGGUGCGUAGGUGGUUGAGUAAGUCUGGUUUGAAAGUCAGUCGCUUAACUAUUGAGGGUAGCUGGAUACUGAUGAACUUGAAUGCCCUGAAGGUAGGUGAAACGGGUUGUGUAGCGGUGAAAUGCAUAGAUAUGACAUAGAACACCAAUGGCGAAGGCAGCUGGCUACGCAUAUAUUGACACUGAGGCACAAAAGCGUGGGGAUCAAAC